GGUUCAGUAGCAUAAUGGUUAAUGUGUCAGGAUAUAUGUACACUAGUUCCGCAAUUAUUCUGGUGACCCUUGUUCAACUCAAGGCUGAACCA